UUCACUAUCAAAACAACAAGAGUGAGAUUAUAUGGCGGAUUUUGUAAAGCCGACCACCGCCAUAAAGCUUCAGUUUUGGAAGGACACGAUCUUCUUUUUGUUCAUUGUGUAUCGUCAGAGCCUACGCUGUUGGUUCCCAUGGGUUAUCGUGUGUUCAGUUUUGAAUGCCUUGAGAUUCACAUCAGUUUUCUGGAUAAUUUGCAUAUCAGAAGAAUCGCUAUUUUAAUUGUCUAUUUGUCUCUAAAAGUUGAUGAAACAUUCGCCGAUUGCAAUAGCCCAGCAUUGAUAGAGAUACAUUCCAGUUGUGCUUUUAGGGUAAGUCGUUUGCUUUAAUCGUUAAAGCGAAUACAAAGGCAAUGUACCUACACAAUGCUUUUUUUAUGAUUCAGAUUUUUAUAGCCAAUGUUGGUAACAAUAUGUCAAUAUUUGUGCUUUCCAUUUUGAAUAUAAGCAUAUAUAGAGCUAAAAUAGUUUAAGUUAGAGAAGCUUAGACUGUUCAUUUGGUUUGAUCAUAGAGGUUUGAUUACUUUGGUAUUUUAUUACUAUUAAAGUAAUUUAUUUUAUUAUCCAUUGAAUUGCAUGAGUCACAUUAAUUGCACCAUUUAUUAUUUUACUCUGUCUCAUGCCAGAUUGUUUUACUCUGUCUAAUGGCAGCUGGCCUAUCUGCCCAUGUGUCUAGUUAACCCAUUGAGUCACACUGUCCCCGCAUGUGCCCUACUUUAAUAUUGUACUUUGUUAAACUGAAUAUUGUUUUCAUAUGUUGCAGUUCUCUGACCUCAGUGAUCUCGGGCAAGAUGGAACAGGACAAUCUUUUAUCUUUGAGAAUGUUGUUUUGUGGGAUUUCAAUAUUCUGCCAUCCCCACCUUCUCAAACAAUUCAACCUCGAGAUCCAGAUACUGUUAAUGAAGAGUUGGACAGUGUGCUGUCACCAAUAAAUUUACAAGGGCAAACUGGAUGUAACUGUGAUCUACAACCAAUAAAUUUACAAGGGCAAACUGGAUGUAACUGUGAUCUACAACCAAUAAAUUAUGUGUGCUUGGUGGAUAUUACUCCACAGUACAGCAUUGUUGAUUGUGAAAAGUGGACCAUGGGACAGAGAUGACCCAAGAAACAAUUAUAACAGUGACAUAGAUUACUAGAAUAUUUUUAAAUUAUUUUAUUUAUUAUGGAUUCCAACAUAUUUAAUUUAUUAUGGAUCCCUACAUUGUAAAUUGAUGUUUGUGAUGUUAUUCUGAGUGUGCAUGCACAUCGGGCAAGCUGAAAAGUUUGCCUGACCACGGUGGGAAUCGAACCUGCGAUCUUUGGGAUAUUAGUCCACACUCAGAGUAACAUCACAAACAUCAUAUUCACCUGAGUACAUAACACCAACACACACAAGAAGUAUAUUGUAAAUUUAUUUUAUUUUAUUUUAUUUUAUUAUGGAUCCCUACAUAUUUUAUUAUGGAUCCCUACGAUUAUAGCAGUGACAUAGAUUACUUGGAUAUUGUAAAUUGUUGUUAUUAUAUUUUAUUAUGGAC